rnacentral:rRNA from 1 species
UGGGGAAUAUUGCACAAUGGGGGAAACCCUGAUGCAGCGACGCCGCGUGAACGAAGAAGGUAUUCGUAUCGUAAGUUCUGUCCUAUGGGAAGAUAAUGACAGUACCAUAGAAGAAAGCUCCGGCUAAAUACGUGCCAGCAGCCGCGGUAAUACGUAUGGAGCGAGCGUUGUCCGGAAUUAUUGGGCGUAAAGGGUACGCAGGCGGUUUAAUAAGUCGAAUGUUAAAGAUCGGGGCUCAACCCCGCAAAGCAUUGGAAACUGAUAAACUUGAGUAGUGGAGAGGAAAGUGGAAUUCCUAGUGUAGUGGUGAAAUACGUAGAUAUUAGGAGGAAUACCAGUAGCGAAGGCGACUUUCUGGACACAAACUGACGCUGAGGUACGAAAGCGUGGGGAGCAAACAGG